rnacentral:misc_RNA from 1 species
GGAAGUAAAAGUCGUACAAGGGUUCCGUAGGUGAACCUGCGGAAGGAUCAUUAUUGUAUAACCGAGGUGCGAGGGCUGUCGCUGACCCGAAAGGUCGUGCACGCCCGAGUGCCCUCACACACAUCCAUCUCACCCCUAUGUGCACCACCGCGUGAGUCCCCCUUUGGCUUGUUCGGAGGGGGGCUUACGUUUUCACACAAACUUUGUAUGCAGUGUAGAAUGUAUUUUUUGUUUUUGCGAUCACGCAAUCAAUACAACUUUCAACAACGGAUCUCUUGGCUCUC